AAUAGGCUCGUUGAGGAAUCAGAUCUGCCUAAUUUAAACUAUGUGAAGGCUUGUGUGAAAGAGGCAUUCAGGCUACAUCCACUGGCACCUUUCAAUCCGACUCAUGUUUCGAGCAAGGAUCUUGUGGUGGGUGGCUACCUCAUCCCAAAAGGGAGCCAUGUGUUGCUCAGUCGCCCCGGCUUGGGGCGAAAUCCUAGGGUUUGGGACGAGCCACUUCGUUUCAAGCCCGGGCGUCACAUUGUUGAUGAGUCCUCAGAAGUGGUGCUUGUGGAUCAUGAAUUGCGCAUGUUAUCAUUCAGUACAGGGAGACGAGGAUGUCCCGGCAUUGUGCUUGGUUCUACCAUAAGCACUAUGCUUCUGGCUAGACUUAUUCAGGGUUUUAGCUGGAGGCCACCCCUUGGUAUGAAUAACAUUGAUUUGGUUGAGUCGGGGCAUGACUUGACAUUGGCUAAGCCUCUCAUUGCUCAUGCAACACCUCGAUUGGACUCACAAAUUUAUCUUUAAUUCAUGUGAAAAUAUAUAAAUUUUCAUAUAAUUAGGUGAACACAUUAUUUUCAGGUCAGCUCUAGGGUUUCGUGUUAUUUUCGAGGUAGCCUAUUGGGUGUUGGGUUAUUCAGAUACUGCUAUUAGCUCUAGGGUUUUUGUGUUGUUUUUGCUACCGCGUAUUAAAAUAGUAGCCACAAGAGGUUAUGAAUUAAAUUUAAGUUAGAAAUCGUUAUUGAUAUAAAUUUGGUAUUUGAAUAUAUAUACUGAUUUCAUGUAUUGAAUAAUAACGUAUGAACUAUUGAAUAGUAUUGCAUAAAUUAAAGAAUAAUAAGUUUCCUGUAUUAUUUUUCUCUAACUGCAAUGAAGUAGUAUAUGCAGUACGGAAAAAAAAAUAUUAAUCUCGGCUCCAAACUCGUGCAAGAAACUCCAAAUUUGACAUUGAAUAACUUGCUGUUCAACAAGAAAGACACAAAAGAAAAUCACUAUUUAUCUUACCUUUAGUGAGAAUGGUAGCUGUAAAGUGAGAAAUUAAGGUUAAUUUUCAAUAAUUCAUAAUUAAUCUCUAAUCUUCAUUCUCACUCAUCUCAUAUUUCUCUGCAACUCCCAAAACAAGCAUGGCAGCAGCUUAUGCAACUCUGGUUUCUGCUAUGAAUAUCAUAAACAACCUUCACCAUCAUCCACGCCCUCCUAUUUCUCUCCCCAUUCAACAAGUUGAGUCUCUCACUCAAAAGAUCAGUUUCCUGCUCGAAUUUCUCGAGGGCUAUAACCCCCAUCGUGGCUACUCCAAAGAAGAAGAUCCAUUGGAGUCUCGCAUUGCAGAUGCAGCUUAUGCGGCCGAACACGCCAUUGAAUCUCAUAUUUUUGAACACUACACAAAUAAUGGGCAAAAUAUGAUGAGUUAUGAUGGCUUGUAUGAAGCUCUAGAGAAGGUGAUAGAAGAUAUGGCUUCUAUCGAAGAGGAGGCCAAGAUAAUUCAAGUUCAACAUCAGCUGCACACGAAGUCAACGCCUUCGGAUUCCUCGAGAUCUUCUUCGAUUCCGCAGCAGAGUAGCAUGGUGGGUGUUGAUGAUGUCAAGCGUCAAAUGAUGGAUAAGCUCACUUCUGAUCGCCUUCGUCUACAAAUCAUUCCCAUUGUAGGGAUGGGCGGCUCUGGUAAGACCACUCUUGCUAGAACUGCUUAUGAAGAGCAUCUUAUUAAGGAGCGUUUUGAGAUUUGUGCUUGGGCUACCAUCUCUCAAGAAUAUGUCAUUAGAGAAAUUUUCGCAAUACUUCUUCGUCAGUUUAAUAUAGGAGUUGAUGACAAUUUGAGUGAGCAUGGAUUAGGAGAAAAGUUGUAUAAACAUCUAUAUGGUAGAAGAUACCUAAUUAUAAUGGAUGAUAUGUGGAGCAUUGAUGCGUGGGAUAGAGUUAGGAAUUAUUUUCCAAAUAACGAAAAUGGUAGCAGACUAGUGGUAACAACUAGGCUAUCAGAUUUGGCUUCUAAAUUACCUAACUCUGACAUCAUUGGGAUGAAACUUUUGGAUGAGGCUGAUAGUUGUGAGCUUCUAUGCAAAACUGUGUUUGGGAAAGAAGGGUUGCCCUCUUGAAUUGGAGGAAAUCGGAAAAGAGAUUGGAAAAAGCUGCAAAGGACUUCCAUUAUCAAUUGUUGUGGUGAGAUGAGUGAAAGAUAAUAUAAAUAAAUCCCACAAGUCAAUCUUCAAUAAAUUAGUAAACUGUGAAAUAUUUUGGUGGGAUGAGUGAAAGAAAGAUUGAAUAUAAUACUAACAUUCAAUAUGUUAUGAAUAUAAUGAAUGAAGUGUGAUCACGAUUUAUAAGACAAAUCGCCAAGAAUUAUUAGCUAGCUACUGUUUAAUAAUGCAUACGAAAUUUAUAUAAGGUUAAUGAGUAUGAAUUAUUUUAACAUAUUUAAUGAAUUAUCAAACGUGUAUAUUAAAGUAAACUGUAAAUAAAAACUUAGCAACUGUCACGAUUCUUAAUAUAACAUUUAACAAUUCAUAUAAUAUGACACUUCGUAAAAUAAAUCUAAACUGAAAAGUCCCUAUAUGAAUGACAAAUUAAUUUGUAACUAAUACAAUAUUAAUAAAUUAUGAGAAUAUAUAAUGCCUUUUUAAAGUGGUCUAAUCGGGGAAGCAGACUAUUAUAGAAUUAAAAGUUCAUAAAUUGCUUAUUAACUGUUUAAAAAUUACCAUUAAGUUCAUUAUAUGAAAUUAAUGGGCCACUAUUUUCAGCUUGGUUAAGGAUUCUUAAAACUUAACAAUUUGGAGUACGAAUCAAGAAUCUGUAAUAUUGAGAAGAUUGGUUUAUUCUAAAAAUUUAACACUUAACAAUUUAUAUGAAUUCUUCUAACAAUUCACGAUUCUUAAAACUUAAUUAGGAACUAUCACAAAAUUCAUUUAUCUUGCAUUCAUAGUUCACGAUACUGAAUUCACCAAUAUAUUUGGAGUACGAAUCAAGAAACAGUAAUAUUGAGAAAUCAAAUAUAGUUUUCAAAAUUAUUUGGAGUUUUUAUCAACAAGAAAUUGGAAUUAAUGGAAUAAUAAAAAUUAUGAAGAACAACGCAAAUACCUGGGUGAUCCAUGAUUAUCUUUGAUAAAAAAGUUGUGAUGUUGAAUGAACGUCUGAUGACAGAGGAAAGGGCCGGUCUUGCAUGCGGCGGUCGCACUCCAGUGCGACGGGUCCGCCCCGACCCGCGCCCGAUCCGACCCGUGCCCAGAUCCAAAAUCCUGAAUCCUAAAUUAUUACAUUUGUUUAUAAUAAUUAUUAUUACUUUUAAUAAGCAUGAAAUAACAUUUGUUCGCACAAAUGUAUACUUAUAUAAAUAUAGGUAUUUACCUUCAGUUAAUAUUAAGUAUUAUAUUUUCUAAACCCUAAAUUCUAUAAACUAAACCCUAAACCCUGUAAACUAAACCCUAAGCCUGAACACUAAACCCUAAUAGGAGUAUGUACUUUAAUUUAAUAAGCAUAAGAUAUACAUUUGGUCGCACAAAUAUAUACUUAUAUUAAUAUAAAUAUUUACCUUCAUUCAAUAUAAAAUAUUAUACAUAUCAAUAUACAUUUAUAUGAACAAAUGUAUAUAUUAUGUUUAUUAAAAGUAACAAUUAUUAUAAACAAAUGUAAUAAUUAGGAGUAUGGGUCAAACCCACGUGAGUCAGGGUCCGGGUCAGGAGGGCGGGUUUGGAGCCGGGUAGACCCGUCGCACACCUGUGCGACGGUCGGCGCAGAGGAAAUUGUGAUUCACGUUUGUAGAAGAGAAAUCAACUAAAGCAAUAACGUGUUAAUGGCUAAUCAUGAAUUAUCAAAUAUUUGGUUUGUCAAGAUAUGGAAGUAAUUUUAUUAUUAAAUCUAGUCAAAUCCCUGUAAAACACGAUUUGGUUUGUUAAGAUUGGUUAAAUUACACUAAACUCCUCAUACUAUAUAGACGUGUUUUUGAUGUAUGAAUUUUAAGAUGAUUUCAAGCCAUUGGAUCUUGCAGAUCAAAUGGACAAAAAUAGUUCGUAUUUUAUACACUUAAUAUUGCUCUUAUUAUAGCCCCACCCCUAAAAUAGAUUAACUUAAAUAUUAAGGCAAAAAAUAAUUAAAAUAAGAUUAUUAAGUUUUAAUUAAUUAUAGAACAAAUAAUUCAAAGCCUAAUCUCUAAUCUUCUCUUCAAAAUCCACGCCAUCUUCAACAAAUACUCUACUUCCAUCCACGAGCAUCCAUCUCCAAUCCAUUUAUAUCACAAAUCAUGUAAAACCAUAUAAAACCAUAGCAAAACACACACUAAAUUAAGUAACUAAAAUGCCACACAUCAAUGCUACUUCACAAAUAAUAAUUUUUAUAAAAGCAAAUGAUAAUUUGUAUAAAAUAAACGAUACUUUAUACAAAAACACAUAUAACACAUUUAACACAUUCAUGAAAAUGACAUCAUUAAAACAUUUAACAUGCAAACGAUACAUUUCAGAAGGAUCGAAUUAGUCUGGACAGGAUUGGCUAUAAAAGCCGAAACAUUAACUCGUGAAGCUGCAACACAACAUUCAAUUCAAACCAUUGAAAUUAACAAACAUGAAAAUCGAAACAAGACUUCCAUCGUUGCUUGCAAUAUUAUAUUUUUCAGUUUCCCUAAUCUUCUUGAAACUCAUAUAUUCCAUCAAGAAAAGAUCGACAGCGCCACCGCCACCGCUGCCGCCGGGGCCGCCCGCGUACCCGGUCGUGGGCAGCCUGCCGGAGAUGCUGUCGAAGAAGCCCGCAUUCCGAUGGAUGCACAAUCUCAUGCAAAAACUCAACACGGAGAUCCUCUGCGUCCGCCUCGGCGGCGUCCACGUCAUCGCGGUCGCUUCUCCGGAGCUUUCCAGAGAGUUCCUGAAGAAGCACGACGCGGCCUUCGCCUCCCGGCCCGACGCCGUCUCGGCCCGCCUCAUCAGCGACGGAUACUCGGCGCUGAUCCUCUCUCCCGCGGGCGAGCAGUGGAAGAAAAUGAGGAGGGUCAUGGUGUCGGAGGUGCUGGCGGCGGGCGUGUUCCGACGGUUCCACUCGACGAGACGCGAGGAGGCCGAUCACCUCGUGCGUACGUGUACAGCCGCCGCAACGGGGCGGUGAACGUGAGAGAUGCGGCGCGGCAUUACUGUGCCAAUUUGAUCAGGAAGAUGGUGUUUGGUGAGAGGUUUUUCGGGGCGGGGAUGGACGACGGAGGGCCGGGAAACGAGGAGAGGGAACACGUGAUGGAUUGUUCACUAUGCUUUCGUAUCUCUAUGGAUUCGCCAUAGCCGAUUUUGUGCCGUGGUUGGAGGUUUUCGAUUUGGAUGGGCAUAAGAGGAUUGUGAGCAACGCCAUUAAGAAGGUAAGGAAAUAGCAUUUCAUUUUGAUUUUCAUAUUUUGACGAUGAAGCGCAGUCUGUUGGUAAGACGGUUCUCCUCCAAUCAAUAGGUCGGUGUUCGAGUCGAGUCACCUAGAAGGUUAGAAUGUGAGUGUGUUUUUCCUUUCUUUGGGUGUAAUAAUUUUAUUUUAUUUUUUAAAAAAAGGUAAGGAAAUACCAAGAUCCGUUGAUCAAUAAGAGAAUGGAGAUGUGGCAGCUAGGGCUCAAGACUCAACAAGAUGAUAUUCUUGAUCUUCUGAUUAACCUCAAGAGCGAAUCGGACGAAACUAAGCCCCUCUUGUCACUUCGAGAGAUUAAAGCACAAAUUCUUGUAAGUAUUUAGUUUAACCUAAUUAACUAUUUGUUCUUUUUCUUUUUACAAUAUUUCAAUUAAGGGUUGCAUUCUACAGAGCUUAUACAGGAAAAUCAGAAACAUUGAACAUGGCAGUAAACACUGUUGAACAUAUAAAUAAUUUGUUGAACGUUUGGGGCUGGGGAUUCGAACUUCUGUUCAUGUUCGCGUUGAACAUUGAGCGAACAAACGCUCUCCUCCUUUCUCUGUCUUAUAUUUGCAUUUCUAUAGAACUUUGCCCUCUUUUUCUCAAUAUUUAAAAUUAGAUUCUCAUAAAAAAGGUGAAAUUUGAGUGUAAAAUGGUGUUGGUUAUACAGGAAAUAAUGAUUGCGACAGUUGAUAAUCCGUCAAAUGCAGCAGAAUGGGCAUUGGCGGAGAUGAUCAAUCAACCGGAUAUUUUUGCAAAGGCGUGUGAAGAACUAGACCGAGUUGUAGGCAAGAAUAGGCUCGUUGAGGAAUCAGAUCUGCCUAAUUUAAACUAUGUGAAGGCUUGUGUGAAAGAGGCAUUCAGGCUACAUCCACUGGCACCUUUCAAUCCGACUCAUGUUUCGAGCAAGGAUCUUGUGGUGGGUGGCUACCUCAUCCCAAAAGGGAGCCAUGUGUUGCUCAGUCGCCCCGGCCUGGGGCGAAAUCCUAGGGUUUGGGACGAGCCACUUCGUUUCAAGCCCGGGCGUC
rnacentral:lncRNA from 1 species